ACGGCGAAUUCGUAAUAAUUCAAACGAUUUAACCAAGUGGCUAAAUCGUAUGAAAUCAUACGAGCUGGCUCGUACGAAAUCGUACGAUUAGUUCAUCGCAUUUAACACAGCCCUGUGUUGCAGGGAUUUCGUGCUAAUUAAUACGAAUAGAUUAAAUCGUACUAUACCAUACGAUUUUGUUCAUCGCAUUCAAGAAGCGUGACCCGUAGCCAGAAAAAAACUCUGGGUGUGCAUCUGAAAAUCUGCGUGUGUCACAGGCAAGAUAAGCAGAAACGCUGGGGAAUUCAGGUGCUGUAAAUCCGGUGGACAGGACUCAUCUCGUUAUAGAUCAAGAUAAUUUAUAAAGAUCUUUAAACGAAGGAUUGGAGUAUCAGAUAGUUGACAUGGUGUACGCCCCUGCCGUGACCCAAAUCUCGUCCGCACAUCAUCGCGAUAUGUAUCAUCUGUUUACAAACGUCGCCACUCGUUUCUUCACAUACAUCUCAUGCUCCUCCAUCUACACGCUCCACAACAUUUAAACCAACGGCUCUUUUAAGAGCCAUCACUUGCAAAAGCUCUCGUACUCGCUCUCCUACUCACUCACUCACUCACUCUCCAACUCACUCACUCUUCUAUAGGGCUGUGCAAAAUAUGUAUAUGCUUUGAAAUAGUUGCAGCUUCCUGGCAUAACUGGUCAAAACCUGAAGAUGCCAUAUUGAAGAAAAGAAAGAAUGCAAAGAGAAAUAGGCAAAACAAAUUGAAAGAGGGACAAACAGAGAGAGGGGGGAGAGUGAGAGAGAGUGAGUGAGUGAGUGUGUGUGUAUAC